GCCCGGGUGGCGGAAUUGGUAGACGCGCACGGUUCAGGUCCGUGUGUCAGUGAUGACGUGCUGGUUCGACUCCAGUCCCGGGCACAA
rnacentral:tRNA from 1 species